AGCAACGCUUACAAACAAGGCGUCUCGCGUGGAGUUACUGAAUGCGCUGAGCCCUACAGUACCGCGACGUAAAAAGCGGCUGCCGAUACUACACCACCCGGUCAACAAAACACCUGAGGAAACGUCAUGGGUUCGCGCAUGCGCACUGACGGGGAAACAGGAACUAAAUUCUCCAGAACACUUGUGCUGCGUAGAAGUUGUUUAGGUUCAGGUAUUCUUCAUCAUCAAGAUCAGCAGGAAGGAAGGAGUCUCAUACUACCAGCAGCAUGAACCCAAGCUAUCCAUAUGGUCCUUAUCCUCCUUUCCCAGGCCAAUGCCCACCAUCAUCACAGCCAGGAUGGGGAGGUCCCUAUAAUCCACCAGUCAACCAAGGCUUUUUUCCAGCAGGACAUGGGCCUUUUCAUUCACACGGACAUCAUAAUGGUCAUGGGCCUCAUCAUGUGCUUGGGCAUCCUCAUGGCUUUGGGCCUCACCAUGGGCCUCACCAUGGGCAUCACCAUGGGCCUCACCAUGGGCAUCACCAUGGACAUCACCACGGCCAUGGACAUUGCUAACAUGGCAAAAACUAAAGUGCAUGGACCUCUAGGAGCCAAUGCAGUCUGUGGUGACUGAAGAGUGAAUGAAGAUCCUCUUCACAUGGAAUAAACAAGCUGACCUUCUUUCACCCUCUGUCGAAUACCUUGCUUUACAUUUUUUAAAAAAUAUAUUAAUAAUCACUCAAAAUGAUUUCUUCUUUCAUGCAUGAGAUGAUUGCUUAAUAUAAAGUUGACAUUUUAUCACCGUCCUUUUAUUGAUUAAUUAAUAAUGCACACAAUUAAUAAAAAUGUCUAUCAAACAAAAAG
ensembl:lncRNA